AUGGUACUCCCUCCGUUUUAAAAUUUUUGUCUUUGAUUUGUCUAGAUAUAAUUGUAUCUAAUCAUGUGUUAGUAUCUAGAUACAUCCAUUUCUAGACAAACGUAAGACAAGUAUUUUGGGACAGAAGGAGUACUUA
rnacentral:pre_miRNA from 1 species